UUUAAGAGUGCGUGUAUUUCACUCUAGGUUUUGUUAUGGUGCGUGAAAUUUUGUUCUUCGAUUUUCUUUAUUGGCGCGUGAAGCCUUUUUUCUUCCGUUUUCAGCGUCUGUGUAGCCCAAUGCAUGUCUUCCAUCCAGCUAGAUGUGGCUUCUUCUAUAAGCUUUUCGAGAAAGCUUCAUACCACUACUUCCAUGACCGCUUCCUCACUAUCUCUAUCAUCUCACCACUGCUUCCGUCUGUUUCACAAAUUGUAGGCGAUGAUUAAAGAGCAACGUCCAACAUCGUUUCCCAUUUUCUUCCUCUUUCUCUCCUCUUCCACCACCGAUAUUCCUAUACCACCGGCUCCCCUCGAAUCAUUGUAGAUGUUUUUUCCACCCACUUCAACAUCGAUUUCCCUCCGCCACAUUUCUUUCUCCUCAUCUAGUUUCACAUGUUAAAGACGAUGAUUGAAGAGCCACGUGUGUUGAUUGCAUCGACUUUUGGAUCUAGGAAACUGGUGAAGCGAUAGAUGUCUCCGUUCACGACUACAUAACGACUACAAGUCUUGGAACUUCAACAAUCAUCAUGCACAAAGGUCAAUCUAGAUGGACACAUCAAGUAAUUCGGGUUAAUGGGGACAUGAUCAGGUAAGCUAUGGUUUUUAGAUGCCAAGGUCAGGUGUUUAAGUAAUUUUGCCUAUUUUCUUUGCUGAGGUGAUCAUUUCUUCAUCUUUCUUUCUUUGUUUCAUGUUCAUCAUGGGUUUUUCAAUAUUUAAGAUAAUUAAAUUGUGCAGUUGGAAUGAUAGAUGGGCUAACUAGAUAAAAAGAGGUAUAUGAAGACCUCAAGAUUUUGGUGACAAAUCAUUCAAUGUGUGGGGCAAUGAUGGACAAAGAAAGGUACUCAAUAAUAAGGGAGUGUGAUUCCUUUGUCGUAAACUCAACCGUGUUGAAGUUCCAGUUUUCAAGCACUUUUCUUAAACAUAAAUACAGUUCUUGAAACAUGAUAGAUAUAUUUAUUAUAGACAAAAUACUUCUGUUUUUACCAACAAUAGAAAUGUGUGAUACAUAUCCUUAUUGAUAAUAGCAAUGCACUUUCAUUUCCUUACCUUUAA